rnacentral:rRNA from 1 species
UACAGAGGUCUCAAGCGUUGUUCGGAUUCAUUGGGCGUAAAGGGUGCGCAGGCGGCGGGGCAAGUCGGACGUGAAAUCCCGGGGCUAACCCCGGAACUGCGUUCGAUACUGCCUUGCUUGAGGACUGGAGAGGAGACUGGAAUUCCUGGUGUAGCAGUGAAAUGCGUAGAUAUCAGGAGGAACGCCAAUGGCGAAGGCAAGUCUCUGGACAGUUCCUGACGCUCAUGCACGAAGGCCAGGGGAGCAAACGGG